rnacentral:rRNA from 1 species
AGCAGCCGCGGUAAUUCCAGCUCCAAUAGCGUAUAUUAAAGUUGUUGCAGUUAAAAAGCUCGUAGUUGAAUUUCGGGAUCAAUAUGUUGGUCGUGCCUUGGUACGUACUGGCAUUAUUGGUUUCUACCUUCUGAAGAACCUCGAUGUCAUUAAUUUGGUGUCUUGGGGAAUCAGGACUGUUACUUUGAAAAAAUUAGAGUGCUUAAAGCAGGCUCGCGCUUGAAUACAUUAGCAUGGAAUAAUGAAAUAGGACGUUUGAUUCUAUUUUGUUGGUUUCUAGGAUUGACGUAAUGAUUAAUAGGGAUAGUUGGGGGCAUUAGUAUUCAAUUGUCAGAGGUGAAAUUCUUGGAUUUAUUGAAGACUAACUACUGCGAAAGCAUUUGCCAAGGAUGUUUUCAUUAAUCAAGAACGAAAGUUAGGGGAUCGAAGACGAUCAGAUACCGUCGUAGUCUUAACCAUAAACU